AGGGGGUUAGGUUAAGGAAGACCAUUAGCUUUCAAAGCAUAGAGUGCGGGUUCAAAUCCCGCACCCCCUG
rnacentral:tRNA from 1 species